UGUCUCUCCUGUCUCCCUCCAUGUUGGUCACGACCUUUUUACCUUUUUUUUGUAGUCUGCAUUUGGGUCCUACCCUUUCCACGCAUCCUAACAGAUGGUGUAUAAUGAACAGGACAGCAGCCCUCGAUGGCCUACCCGUGUACCUCAAGGAAGACUCAUCUUCAAAACUUGCAAGGAUAAGAUGGAGGCAACCCAAAAGGGAGCAGUGGUCGAUGAAGAGUAGGUGCCUGCAGGAGUUCCCUUCGAAACUCAUCACGUGGCCAUCAUCCUCGAGGAUCAGGCUGUGAUGUUUCACAGAUCCUGGAUAGAUUCUCUGGUGGUUUUGUUUGGACUGAUCUAUGGUCUCCAUUUGAGCUAUCCUGAGAACUGGCUUCUUUGAGUUCAUUCAGGUUGUCCUCUGGUAAAAAAUGUCAGACUAUUUUGGUGAAGAUCAUCGGAUUCUGAAAAUUAUCAUUUUGUUGCAUGCCAAGAACAGAUUUAAAUUGGAUACCGUGGCAAUAACUGAUGCAAAUGUCAUAUUGCAUGUCUGCAUAUGUUUAGGUGGUGUCUUUACACUUUGUGUUUUAGUACACUCCAUUCUUAUUUUUAAGUUUAAAAAUGAUCUCAGUUUUUCCAACUUUCUUUCUUUUUGAAAAAUGUUGACAUUAAAAUGUUUUAACAUUGAGAUUUAUUUCACACUGAAAUAAUGAAGUUUCCUAAAUGAAUGAAGUAAACACAAUAAAGUCAUAAGUUGUCAUAACUAAAAUGUAAUAAUUAAUUGUAGUGAAACAAACUGGGUAGUUGUAAGUUUUAGUUUUAAGGUGGUGUUACUUAACACUAGAACCGCCAAUCGGGUCAAUUUGACCCA